rnacentral:tRNA from 1 species
GAGGGUGUAGCUUAAGUGGUAGAGUGCAUGCUUAGCAUGCACGAGGCCCUGGGUUCAAUCCCUCAGCACUUCCU